rnacentral:rRNA from 1 species
UACGAAGGGGGCUAGCGUUGUUCGGAAUCACUGGGCGUAAAGCGCACGUAGGCGGACUUUUAAGUCAGGGGUGAAAUCCCGGGGCUCAACCCCGGAACUGCCUUUGAUACUGGAAGUCUUGAGUCCGAGAGAGGUGAGUGGAACUCCGAGUGUAGAGGUGAAAUUCGUAGAUAUUCGGAAGAACACCAGUGGCGAAAGGCGGCCUCACUGGCUCGGUACUGACGCUGAGGUGCGAAAGCGUGGGGAGCAAAGAUUAGAUA